rnacentral:rRNA from 1 species
UUUCGCAAUGCCCGAAAGGGUGACGAAGCGACGCCGCGUGCGGGAAGAAGGCCUUCGGGUUGUAAACCGCUGUCGGGAGUUAGGAAAUGCAAGGAUGUUAAUAGCGUCCUUGCUUGACUAAGGCUCCGGAGGAAGCCACGGCUAACUUUGUACCAGCAGCCGCGGUAAUACAGAGGCGGCAAGCGUUGUUCGGAAUUAUUGGGCGUAAAGAGCACGUAGGCGGCUGUGUAAGUCGGUUGUGAAAGCCUUCCGCUUAACGGAAGAACGGCAUCCGAUACUGCAUAGCUUGAGUGCGGGAGGGGAGAGUGGAACUUCUGGUGGAGCGGUGAAAUGCGUAGAUAUCAGAAGGAACACCGGCGGCGAAGGCGACUCUCUGGUCCGUAACUGACGCUGAGUGUGCGAAAGCUAGGGGAGCAAACGGGAUUAGAUACCCCGGUAGUCCUAGCCGUAAACGAUGGGCACUAAGUAGAGGGGUUUU